AAUAAAGGACAAAGUACAUGCAGUUGUGUAGUCGCAAAUGCUCGGCCAGUGUGUGAGUGGAGAAAGAGAUCGCCGGUUGGAAAAAAUUAAAUUUUGAUAUCUCCCACUUAAGCCAUUUCCCUGGUGUUCGCUGGUGUACAGUAUCGUGGUUUCCAAGCCUGGAAAGAGACAAUUCUUGCGCAGGGGCAGGAGACAUUCCGUGUGGGAGAUACUAUCUCAAAUGAGUGUAAAAAGAGCACAUGUACAUUACAUGGGCUUGCAAACUCGCAGGGUAGGUCUCCUAUUCUCCUAUUAUCCCUUUAUUGUCCCCCCCCCACACCCCCUUCACUCAACGGCAGAGAGGCCACAAAAGUGCCGGACUUUGACAUUCUGCAGAGCUCGACUAAGAGCCAGGAGCUGGUAGGGAUGCAGCUGCUCGCCAGCAAAAGAUGAUGCGGACCCCAAGCUGCCCUGGCAGGGCACCACUUAAAGGCGAUUCCUGAAUUUUGGAGAACCUGCAAAAAUCAAAAGAUACUGGAACAAACAGCCCCAACGUGCGUGUAUUUGUUGUAAGAGCAGCAGUUACAGAGUGCCUGGAGAAAGAGACAAAGCAGGGAGAUGGGCUUGGGGAGGGAAGAAACUCAGAACCCGGUAGGGUACUUUAGCCAGACGCAUCUCCAACUUUAGCGCGCCUCAGUCACCAGGAGAUCUACUUAAAACGGAAAUUCCGAUUGCCUUGGUGGGCGUGGAGUCUGAGAUUCUGCAUUUCUAAUAAGCUCCCAGGUUACAGCUGCCGCUGGUCCAAGGACCAACCUUUGAGGGCCAAGGGGUUUGUUGAAUGGGGUGACGAAAUUUAGGGCCAGAGAGGAAAGAUGCUUUCUGAAGAAAACGACAAGCUGGGGGUACCAGCGGCCUCAGAAGGGGCAACAACAGAAGCAAACUGGAUGAGUAGGAACAGGGUUGGAAACUAGCCAGAGGAAGGGCUGCGGUCUCCACGGUCACUUUAUUCCGACCAAAGUCUUAGGAAAAGGGAGGAAGGAGGCGCUGGCACUCUGGCUUUGGAAGAAAACGUUGCAAGGGAUGGGCUGGGGAUUCUUUGGAAAGGGCAGCAGACGCGCACCUGGGUAAGGGUUCAACAUUAAAGUUGUGAAGAAAGCAGCAGCUAAUUCAGCUUGGUUAUCAUAAAAGUCCAGGAGAAGCACUAUGAAAAGAAAACUAAAUGACAAAACAAAGUAAAUAAUCUCCCAGCAGAGAGAUCCUGGUGAAAAGCAGUUUGAUCCACUGGCCAAUGAUGUAACCUGGGGAAAAUUUUGCCACAAGUAUUUGCUAACUACUGAGUUUAAUUAAAGUAGCUUUGUUGACCAAAACCACAAUCCACUAUUAAAGGUUUGUGUGAAAA